UUGGCGGCAAGAUAGCCCCUUAGAGGAACCUGCCCUAUAAACGAUGAACCACGAAAAACUCUACUUUUUUUAGUGAACAGUUUGUAUAUCGCUGUUGUCAGUUAGAUUCUUGAGAAUAUUUUCAUUCAUGAUAAAUUCAUCGACUUCAAGUAAAGGUGCAGCUUAUAAAAAAGAUAGAGGUGGGUUACAUUUAUAAGAAUAAUACGGAUAAGAUUUAUGAAAUAAUCUUUGAAGGUGGAUUUAACUGUAAAACUUAAGGAAGUUUGGUGAGAGCUCUAUCUUGUGUACACA
rnacentral:rRNA from 1 species